rnacentral:tRNA from 1 species
GCCCCAGUAGCUCAACGGAUAGAGCAACAGACUUCUAAUCUGUAGGUUGGGGGUUCGAUUCCCUCCUGGGGUACC